AAAAAUGAUAAUCAUGCCCGCACUUAUACCGUCACAGGAUUCGGGUGUCUAUAAAAAAAGUAUAGAUUGAAUCAUGGGGUAUAAGGAGGUAAAAC
rfam:Gammaproteobacteria bacterium GWF2_41_13 gwf2_scaffold_2044, whole genome shotgun sequence.